GGGGAUGCAAAUCCUGGAAGUCAUCCAAAGAGUUGGAAACUCUUCCUCUUAAAGUAAAUCCAAGCGCCCAAAAAAUAAAUAUUCAAGAGCAUUAAUUUGUUUCUAGAUGUGUGCUUGCAAGUAAAACAGCAGUCAUAAUGUGGAAAUUUCAGUCACAUUUUGCAACUAAUUGGAAGCAGAUUAGAAUUCCGCCUCAGGGGAACGUUGUCAAACUAGAAGCCGGAGCAAAUGAAGAAAGAGGUGAAGGCGUCGUGAAGAGCUGACAGAUUUACAGCGCUCAGAGCUAUAAACGGGUCCUGGGAGGGAAGGAGGGCGCGGCCCCGGCUGCGCGCCCCCGCCAUCGGGAGCGCGCAGCCCGGCCACGCCCCCCGGGGGGCCCAGGCCCUCCAUCUGCCCCCACCUCGCGCCAACCAAUAAACCCGGCCUUCGCAGGAAAUCAGGGGGCCUGAUAAGAGAGAGAGACUGCAGGCUGAUGAACCCGAGCAGGCCAACGUCGGAGGGAGAGGAGGGUUCUUUUUGAAGGGGGGAGGGGAGAGAGAAAGAAAGCAGAUUGUGGAGGAUAAUACAGCAAUGGAGUAAUGGAAACAGCUGCUCGCUUUCUACUUCAGUGUCUGGCAUCUGCUGCGGCAUCAUGGGAAAGGCUGCUGAAGAAAUCGGAAGACCACAC